rnacentral:rRNA from 1 species
CUCCAGACUCCUACGGGAGGCAGCAGUGAGGAAUAUUGGUCAAUGGGCGGAAGCCUGAACCAGCCAAGUCGCGUGAGGGAAUAAGGCCCUACGGGUCGUAAACCUCUUUUGCCGGGGAGCAAGGGCCGGGACGCGUCCCGGCCCGGAGAGUACCCGGAGAAAAAGCAUCGGCUAACUCCGUGCCAGCAGCCGCGGUAAUACGGAGGAUGCGAGCGUUAUCCGGAUUUAUUGGGUUUAAAGGGUGCGUAGGCGGGCUUUUAAGUCAGCGGUAAAAAUUCGGGGCUCAACCCCGUCCGGCCGUUGAAACUGGGGGCCUUGAGUGGGCGAGAAGGAUGCGGAAUGCGUGGUGUAGCGGUGAAAUGCAUAGAUAUUAGGAGGAACACCAGUGGCGAAGGCGGCCUGCUGGACGACAACUGACGGUGAGGCGCGAAAGCGUGGGGAGCAAACAGGAUUAGAUACCCGGGUACA